rnacentral:rRNA from 1 species
AUUGAACGCUGGCGGCAGGCCUAACACAUGCAAGUCGAACGGUAACAGGAAGAAGCUUGCUUCUUUGCUGACGAGUGGCGGACGGGUGAGUAAUGUCUGGGAAACUGCCUGAUGGAGGGGGAUAACUACUGGAAACGGUAGCUAAUACCGCAUAACGUCGCAAGACCAAAGAGGGGGACCUUCGGGCCUCUUGCCAUCGGAUGUGCCCAGAUGGGAUUAGCUAGUAGGUGGGGUAACGGCUCACCUAGGCGACGAUCCCUAGCUGGUCUGAGAGGAUGACCAGCCACACUGGAACUGAGACACGGUCCAGACUCCUACGGGAGGCAGCAGUGGGGAAUAUUGCACAAUGGGCGCAAGCCUGAUGCAGCCAUGCCGCGUGUAUGAAGAAGGCCUUCGAGUUGUAAAGUACUUUCAGCGGGGAGGAAGGGAGUAAAGUCAAUACCUUUGCUCAUUGACGUUACCCGCAGAAGAAGCACCGGCUAACUCCGUG